CAGUCGCGUUCUCUGGGAUUCAGCCUUGCUUCUUGCUUGGUGCAUUUCCUAGUCUACGGGCCAGCAUGAAUCUUGAGCGGUUGGAUAAAGGCCUCUGUCAUGUAUCUUCUCCGGAAGACCUUAUAGGGGAGGCGUAAUGCAACCAGCCUGGACUGAGGUCCGCGCAUCUGCUAGGAUGCUGGCGUAAUGGCUGUAAGCGGCCCGUCUUGAAACACGGACCAAGGAGUCUAACAUAUAUGCGAGUGUU
rnacentral:rRNA from 1 species